CUUGACCGAGCCGAGCAGCAGCGGGUUGUCGGCCUCGCGGCCCUGGCCGUAGGUGGCCAGCAGCGCCUGGGCCUC
rnacentral:antisense_RNA from 5 species